AAGGGAUGGGUGAACUUCAUAACUAGCAGUGUGCGAUUUGUGGGGAUUUUCUUUUUGUACUGUUGCAAAUCUUCAAGUGGUAUCCGGGUGGCACUUUCAAAAGUGAGAUCCU